AAAUUCCGUCGGAAUCUGGGAGGACCAUCUCCCAAGGCUAAAUACUCUCUAGUGACCGAUAGUKAACCAGUACCGUGAGGGAAAGGUGAAAAGUACCCCGGAAGGGGAGUGAAAGAGAACUUGAAACCGUGUGCUUACAAGUAGUCAGAGCCCGUUAAUGGGUGAUGGCGUGCCUUUUGUAGAAUGAACCGGCGAGUUACGAUCUGAUGCAAGGUUAAGCAGAAAAUGUGGAGCCGUAGCGAAAGCGAGUCUGAAUAGGGCGAAUGAGUAUUUGGUCGUAGACCCGAAACCAGGUGAUCUACCCUUGGUCAGGUUGAAGUUCAGGUAACACUGAAUGGAGGACCGAACCGACUUACGUUGAAAAGUGAGCGGAUGAACUGAGGGUAGCGGAGAAAUUCCAAUCGAACUUGGAGAUAGCUGGUUCUCUCCGAAAUAGCUUUAGGGCUAGCCUCAAGUGAUGAUUAUUGGAGGUAGAGCACUGUUUGGACGAGGGGCCCCUCUCGGGUUACCGAAUUCAGACAAACUCCGAAUGCCAAAUAAUUUAACUUGGGAGUCAGAACAUGGGUGAUAAGGUCCGUGUUCGAAAGGGAAACAGCCCAGACCACCAGCUAAGGUCCCAAAAUAUAUGUUAAGUGGAAAAGGAUGUGGCGUUGCCCAGACAACUAGGAUGUUGGCUUAGAAGCAGCCAUCAUUUAAAGAGUGCGUAAUAGCUCACUAGUCGAGUGACACUGCGCCGAAAAUGUACCGGGGCUAAACAUAUUACCGAAGCUGUGGAUUGUCCUUUAGGACAAUGGUAGGAGAGCGUUCUAAGGGCGUUGAAGCAUGAUCGCAAGGACAUGUGGAGCGCUUAGAAGUGAGAAUGCCGGUGUGAGUAGCGAAAGACGGGUGAGAAUCCCGUCCACCGAUUGACUAAGGUUUCCAGAGGAAGGCUCGUCCGCUCUGGGUUAGUCGGGUCCUAAGCUGAGGCCGACAGGCGUAGGCGAUGGAUAACAGGUUGAUAUUCCUGUACCACCAUGAUUCGUUUUAAGCGAUGGGGGGACGCAGUAGGAUAGGCGAAGCGUGCUGUUGGAGUGCACGUCUAAGCAGUAAGGCUGAGUGUUAGGCAAAUCCGGCACUCAUUAAGGUCAAGCUGUGAUGGGGAGAAGAAACAUGUUUUCUUCGAGUCGUUGAUUUCACACUGCCAAGAAAAGCCUCUAGCUAGAAGAUUGGUGCCCGUACCGCAAACCGACACAGGUAGUCAAGAUGAGAAUUCUAAGGUGAGCGAGCGAACUCUCGUUAAGGAACUCGGCAAAAUGACCCCGUAACUUCGGGAGAAGGGGUGCUCUUUGAGGUUCACGCUUCGAAGAGCCGCAGUGAAUAGGCCCAAGCGACUGUUUAUCAAAAACACAGGUCUCUGCUAAACCGUAAGGUGACGUAUAGGGGCUGACGCCU
rnacentral:rRNA from 1 species